GCCCGCCCGCCCUGCGCCCGAAUGGCCGCUCGCCGGCAGCUGGUGCCUCUGCUGCGGGGCUCUCCGGGGGUAGGGUGGCCGCCUCGGCUGAACGGGAAGCCAUUGGCACUAUAGAAGGCAACUACCAAGUACAAAGUUGUUCUACGCUAUUUGAUAUCCCCAGCUGUUGAAGACACCAGUAAUGCCAAACUUCGUGCCAAUUCAUGAAAACCCAAAAUCUCUGUGAACUCUUGUGUCCAUCCUCAGCCCCUUAAGCACUCAAUUCCUCUCCUAACUUUCAGAAUGUAACUUUCUCUGAAGUCAGUCAAAUCAACAAUGAAGUGACGUGCACCAAGAGAGGUGCAUGAAAACAUGUUUGCAGAAUUGGGGCUUAAAGCAUUCAUCGAUAACACCCCCUCAUUAAGCAGAGGAGAUGGGUGAGUUCAUUUGCGUACAUGAGCAUGUGAAACGUCCGUGUUUAGAUGUGGUCCUUCAGCAAAAUCUGGUCUUGCUAGUUACACACACAACUAUUCCUUAAUCAUGGAUUUUUCUUUUUACUUAAUUAUUACAACCUGUUGCUACGACUAAACAAGACUGAGUAGAUACUUUUGUGUACUCAGCACCUUCACAGUACUUGCCAUCUAACCUAAAAAAGGUGAAAUGCUGAUUUCUAGGAAAAAAAAAGUUGUUAAGGUGGAGAAAAACCCUUCUAAGAUAAUGUGUUUAUUAGCUGCAUGUCAGCCUCUUUUUCUCUAGCUUCACAGAUAAUGAAGUAUAGCACAUCUGGUACCUUAGAAUAAACAAUUAUAAUCUGGGCUGCUAGGGUUCUCCUAAGGAUGCACAGUGUCUCACUGUUUGAUUCUGCUGGUGGCAGUCUUGGUGAUUUACUAGUUAGUUGCUUUGGGUUUUUUAGGGUUUUCUUUCUCAGAUAGGUGAGAUCACACACAGAGAUGCAAAGCCUUUCCAAAUUACUACAGCGCAGAUUCCCAUCCCUUUGGCAGGAACAAAAAGUCUAAAUGAAAAGUAGAGUAUUCGAGAUGUUCUUUGUAUGGGCAAAUGUAAACCUCAGGCCUGGGGUCAUACGCGGCAGUUAGAACCUGUGUGGUCCUAAAAUUGCUCUCAAACAAUCCUUGUUCAAUUGGAAGAAUUUUCAGGCCAUAUUUAGUGCCCGUUUCUAGAACUCAGAUCCUCACAAAUGAAGGCUUACUUUGCAGUAAAUUUUACAAGGUGUAAAUACAGUAAUGCCUUCUCAAGUUGUCUGUCACUUGGGAGAGCAGUGAGGUUGGUAUAAAUGAAUUAACAACAUCUAGUGAUGAUCACAAUGCAGUGCAGACCUGCGUAUAAAUAACUGCUUACCACUGAGCAGUGUGCAGGUGGGGCAGAGAAUUUAAUUGGUUUUGAGGAAUGGGGUUACAGUGAACUUUACUUAGGGAGUCAAGAAAAAAACAACAGGGUAGAAGGUUAGUGAAAAGAGGAAAUUGCCAUUCAUAUAAUCUUGAAACUUUGUGAAUAACUGAAAAUAUUUGUAAUCAUGUUGCUAUGACACCCAGUAAUAACUGGGAGCCUUCAUUUUGAGUUAGCAGGUAUAUUGACAUAUGUAGAAAAAAUGCAAAUAUUUAGGUUAUUUUUAAAAUUGUUCUCUCCGUGUUGUAUAAAUUUCACAUAAUACAAUAGGCAGCUUAGGGACCAAGACCAGAAAUGGUCCCUAAACCAAAUGAUCUCUUUUCACCCUUCUGUCCUAUGCUAGUAACCCUUGUAUGCCCUUGCCAGCAUCAAACAAAUAUGAAGAUACAGCUGGAGAGGUGAAGCAAUUCCUUGUGAAAGAUAGCAAUUCCUUGUGAAUUUUAUGAAAGUAGGAAGACAAAAGAAAAAAAAUGUUGCUGGUAAUCCCACUAGGAGGAGGACUCCAUGACUUCAACACUUUAUUAGACAUCAAAGAACCUUCACUGGGCCAUAUCCUCAAGACCAAAGUAAUUGGAAACCAAUGCAUUUUGUUACACUGCUUGCAGAAUUCUUUUUCUUUGUUUCUGCCUUCUCCUACUCUGUUGUUUGUUUGUUUUAAUUUUACCCUUCUCUCGGAAUAUCAUUAAAGAACUGGCACAAGUGGAAGAAAACACAGCUAAAAGAUGCUUUUAGGCUCAAUGCAAGUAAAAUGCCACUCAGUUUCUUGAAAGGGCUGGAACUUCUGUUCUGUGAACCUUGUGCUGUGUCUGUGAGAUGCAACAACAGAGUGGAGCAUAGUUGGCUCAAACAAACGUUCAUGAAUGUUGCAUUCAACAUCCUCUUUCAGGUGUUGUAGACCAGGAAUCUUGCUUCAGUCUGAAGUUGCAGCAAGUCGGUCUGGCAAACUAUUAUGUUUUGACAGUUUUUGUUGCUCAGCAAGUGGCCUGCCACAUCCUGGGAAAGCUGCAGUUUUCAUGACACCUCUCUUUCUGGCUCCUCUUAGGAAGACGCUUUUGAAGUCUCCUUGCUCAGGAGAUGGCAGUGAACAAAACCAUUGUUUUCUGUUGUCAUAUCUAUAAAGAUUUAGGUUGUUCCCCUAAGUCAUUCUAGCUCCUACAAGGACUGCUGCAGAAAUCCCUGAGUAUCCCUAUAGGUGCUGGAAAAGCCAUCCAAACUGGCUACUCCAGAACCCUGGCUUUAGACUUGGCUUCUUUGUGCUCCCUCUGUACCAAGGGAUAUCUUCCAGGAGAAGCUAUAAUAAAAAUUGUCCUUCUUUUAUAGCAUUCUCAAAUUCCCAAAGGAGGCAACUUAAUCCUCUGAAUCAGAGCUGGAACAAGACACCUAAGUGCCAGAGGAGCUUUGUCUCCUCAAGCUAGCCACACCCCAUGGAGAUUCUUGCAUCUUCCAGGUGCUUCCCCAACCCAAUGACCUUCCAGUGUUCACUCCUGUCCUUCAGGAUUUUCCACUUGGCCAUUAUUGCCACUGUAACUGGGUUCUGGACCGCAGCCUGCACCGCUCUGUGUGCAUAUCCUCCAUUUGGCACGUGUCUUGGAAGACAUCCUUGGAGAAGCACCACGGGUGAUCCGGCCUAGCAUGCUUCUGCUUUCCGCUUCCCUGGGUAGAACAGUACUUCAGCACUUGUGCUCUGGAGUUCAAGGCUGUCGCUAAAAUGUAUUUAUUUUUCUCUGCUAGAUUAUUUAUUUUGAGAAGUAUGGCACAGGGACUCUUUAUUCAUACAGUUUUUCAAAGCCACAUAUACCAUUAAACAUAAGACAAUGCCAUUAAAACCACCUAGAUAAAAACCUAAAAGUUUUUUGGAGAGCAUGGGAGGGGGACAGAGAGGAGAAAAGUAGAGAAGAGAAAAUGGAUCCAGAAAAACUAGCUUUCCACAGUGCUACAUGUAUACUUUGUCAAAACUUGUAGAGGGUUUAAGCAAUUUUUUUUUUUUUUAAAUAAAGGUUUGAUGGGAAAAAACAUUCUGCUUUCAUCCCAAGUAUUGUAAUUAAUGAAGUCAUGCAUCCUUAUUUAGACAGCUGCCCUCCCUGACUCUAUCUGGUAUUUUUCUUUUGCUAGGCUGUAAGAUUUAGAUGCAAUGUAUUUGGAAGUAAUUUAGAUUUAUAUUUUUGUUCAAAUUAAAUUGAAAUUUUUCAUUAGGCUCA